UUUAGUCCCUGAAAUUUAUAUUUUAAUUCCCAAAAAGUCCAUACCGUUAAAAUUCUUUAACUAACAGAGUUAAAAAUUUUAACGGCAUGAACCUUUUGGGAAUUAAAAUGUAAACUUCAGGGACUAA
rnacentral:pre_miRNA from 1 species